GAUAAGAGGCCAAUAGUCCCAAACAAGAGAAGACUCGUGCAACACCUGAUCCUCAACUCUCCAAACUCAACUGUGACGGUGCUGAAUUGCUGAUGAUGAGGCCAAUUAAUUCUCACUUAUACACGAUGAUGGGAUUUGGGUCUUACGUUGGGAACGCUCAUGGAGGAGGAUCUUCAAAUUUGUCAGCUUUAGCACCACCUUUCACCGUCGACCGAUCCAUCCCCAAACCUGCAGCUACCCCACUUGUUGAUUUGGGUGAACCCUUGAAUUGGCUCGAUUCUAAUCCUUACACUUUUAAUUCACCCCAACCGGCUCAACUGCCUCAGCUGGAUUUAGAGCCAACUCCCACUCCUUCCUAUAACCAAAAUUCGGAUCUUUUUGAACCCAAAACCUAUUAUCCUUCCUAUGUCUCACCACCCCUUCAUGUGCCAACUUUCAAUGAGCAGAGCUUGCCUGGCCUGGACCAUACGGCUCAAUGGGGCGGUGGCUUGUGGGAUUGGGAGAAAGGGAAGCCGGCUCAGCUUGGUGGGAGUUUUUAUUUGAAGGAGACGUCUGUAGCUCCUUCCUCCAUUUACAUGGAUCAUAUCAACCUUGGAGCUCAUCCCUCCAAAAGCCUAAAGACAUGCGAAGAAACUUCAUAUAAUAUUUAUUCACCUAGGGAAGAUCAAGCUGGGCCUGCUAAUAUUGAAAAGCUAGAUUAUAACCCUGUCCUGGGGCAAAAUCCAUCAUUCAUGCCUGUGGAUUACUUGAAGACAUCAGUUAUCGGGUCCAGUUCAGCAAUUUCUGAAGCCAACCUGCAGGCACCUCCCUUAAAUCUGGUAAAUUGCAAGAACAAUUAUGUGCAAAUCAGCACUCCAUAUGAGAAACCUUUGAGACAGCAUGGUACUACUUUAAGUGAUAGUAUACCUUCUGUGAAGUCUUCACCUGGGGUUGUUAUUAGACCACCAGCUGUUGGUACCAGCUCUUCAGCAUCAAAUUCUGUUUCAUUUAAAAAUGUUAAUACUGGCAUUAAUGCAACUGAUACAAAUUUGGCUGGCAAUAAUCGCUUUACUGUGAAGGAGCCUCGUUUUUUGUUUAACUUUGGUAGCAAAAAUGAGUUUGACCCAAUUCAACACAGCUUUCUCCUUGAUGGGAAUUGUUAUAUGUCCGGGGAAUUGUCAACAAGCACUGAAAAGCUUUCAACAAGAAAUAUGGCCUCUAAGGAUGCCUCUGAUAAUUUCUUCGGAGCAAAAUCUGGAGUUAAUUUGUCUCGAAUUAGUCCAGAUAAUUUCAGUUUGGCAUUUGAGAAUAAUGAAGCAGUCAUUGCUGUGGAGAAUUCUUUAGAGAGUUUAGAUCAUUACAACCCUCCUGUUGACUCACCUUGCUGGAAAGGAGCUCCAGCUUCUAAUAAUUCCCCAUUUGGUUCUUCUGAGCCUGUUGCUGUGCAGCUUGCAAAGAAACUUGAAGCAUGCGAUGAUUCAAAUGGUCAAGUGCUUAAAUUUAUUUCUUCGAAUACUGCUAACAUGGUUAAACAUCCUUCAGGAAAAGCAGGUGAAAUUUUGAUGUCUGAUGAAAAUGGGAAUGUGGAAGAUGGUUCAAUGUCGUCUCUUAAAUUGCCGCCAGUCUCUAUCCCGUCUUUUAAAGAACAUGAACCUGAUGAAGCUGGGAAAGCAGGAUCCCAUAAAUAUAAAGCAAGUUCUGCCUGUGAGGUCAAAUUCUCUGAUAAUGCAAGUGAAUGGAAGAAAGAUUAUGUCUUAUUCGACAAGUCAGUGGAUGAGGUUGAGAAGGCAUCUCACACCAGUCAACAAUGUCUUGCAGAAGGUAGAUUAGCUUCUAAAAAUUUGUGCAGAUCUGAGACUGGUGUUGCAGAUCUUGAGAUGAAGAUAAAUGAUGUCUCAGGCUGUGGUUCAUCUCAUGUGUCAUGCCAUGCUGUAAAGCAUUUAUCGUGUGCACCAUCCUCUGUAGAAGAUGUUUCUACAAAGCAUACUAAAUUCUUAGGCAAAGAACCAGUGUCAAAUAGCAGCAUCAGUGUUCUGGUAGAUACAAUGCAGAACCUGUCAGAAUUGCUUCUAUAUCACUGCUCCAAUGAGGCAUGUGAAUUAAGGGAACAAGAUGUCAAGUCCCUUGAAAAAGUAAUCAACAAUCUCGAUACAUGCAUGUCAAAAAAUAUCGGACAAGAGACAUUACUGAGUGAGCUACAUAAGGUAUGGUUCCCCAUGUCAAAAAAAAAUGGACAAGAGUCAUUAUUGAGUGAGCUACAUAAGGGAACAAGUACGGGAAGCCCCCAGGUGGCAGCUAUUGAUGUUCUAAGUCAGCAUACACAAGUGAAGAGGAAGCAUUUUGGUAAGAAAGAUGAGAAAUGUUCUGAAUUUGUUUCUGUCAGGAGUGGUACAGACAUAAAAGUGAAAAAUGAUAAGAUGACCCAGGCUAUAAAGAAGGUUCUUAUUGAGAAUUUUCAUGAGAAGGAAGAGACACACCCACAAGUUCUCUUGUAUAAGAAUCUAUGGCUUGAAGCAGAAGCUGCUUUAUGCUCCAUCAAUUACAUGGCUCGCUACAAUAACAUGAAGAUUGAAAUAGAAAAAUGCAAAUUGGACACAGAAAAAGAUUUGUCAGAAGACACACCAGAUGAGGACAAAAUCUCAAGGUCUAAAUUAUCUGCUGAUCUAGACACCAAUAAGAAAUUAACAGCAAUAGCUGAGAGUGCACCAACCCUAGAUGUUUCUAACCAAAAUUUUCCUAUAGCAAGCUCCAGCAACCAUGCUGAUGAUGUCACAGCCAGAUUUCAUGUACUAAAACACCGGCUUAACAAUUCAUAUUCUGUUCAUACUAGAGAUGCGGAUGAACUCUCGAGCUCAAAGCUUUCUUUAGAUUUGGAUGCGGUUGACAAAUUGGCAACUGAAGUAAAGGAUAGCUCAACCUCAAGUCUGCAAACCCAAGACUCCCCUCUACCAGGAACAGCCUGCCAUACAGAUGAUGUUGAAGCCUCCAUCAUGACUAGGUUGCAUAUCCUGAAAAGCCGAGGCAAUGUCGAUCUGGAUUCCAAUGAGAUGGAGCAGAAACCACUGCCAGAGGUUGUUGAUCUUGGAUUUGCAGGAAAGAAAAAGCAAAUACCCAUUGAUGAAGACACAGCAGAUGAUGGAGUUUUGGGUUUUAAUUUGGAAUCUGUCUCACAGAACCAAGUGGUUGACUAUGCUGGAGAACAGUCAGUUGUGAAGGAUUUUCAUCUAUGUGUCAAGCAUGAUUGCACAAUACAGUCUCCCAAGAGCACCAGGCUUGGAAAUCAACUCUCUGCAGGCUGGUAUGACAGCUGUUCUUCAGACUGGGAGCACGUAUUGAAGGAGGAGCUCUCAGGACAGAACAGUUGAACCUAAAUUUGUUCCAGGCUGUACCCUAUGGUGAAUGAUAUCUUGUUUCCCGGUAAACAUUUGUAUAAAGUGUGUGGAACACCAACUAUGAGUUGCUUAGAACUUGACUGCUCUCCAACCUUGUAAAAAGCUGCGAGGAAAUGUAUUCUUGUUUGAAGUGGUGUCCGGCUGUUCAUCUUGGUAUUGGUCUAUUUAAGGUAACGCAGAAAAUUACAGGAUGCUACUGCACACUUGGAUAUCAGCUGCUGCGGAUGCAUGGUGCAGUGAGAAUCAAGGCUGAUUCCAUGGCAUCAUUCUGUUAAAUAAUACGAUGCACAAGCAAAUUUGUUAUAACACGAUAGGUGUUUUUAAAAUUUGUUUGAAGAAUGAUGAAGCUUUCCGGAGCAAAACAAGUGAAGAGCAGGAAAAGAAAAAUAAAGAUUGGGUUUUCUAUAUUUUAAUACAA